GAUGAACGCUAGCGACAGGCUUAACACAUGCAAGUCGAGGGGCAGCAUAAAAGUAGCAAUACUUUGGUGGCGACCGGCGCACGGGUGAGUAACGCGUAUGCAACCUACCUAUCAGAGGGGGAUAACCCGGCGAAAGUCGGACUAAUACCGCAUAAAACAGGGGCACCGCAUGGUGAUAUUUGUUAAAAAUUUAUUGCUGAUAGAUGGGCAUGCGUUCCAUUAGGUAGUUGGAGAGGUAACGGCUCACCAAGCCUACGAUGGAUAGGGGAACUGAGAGGUUGGUCCCCCACACUGGUACUGAGACACGGACCAGACUCCUACGGGAGGCAGCAGUGAGGAAUAUUGGUCAAUGGGCGAGAGCCUGAACCAGCCAAGUCGCGUGAAGGAAGAAGGAUCUAUGGUUCGUAAACUUCUUUUGCAGGGGAAUAA
rnacentral:rRNA from 1 species